CCUACGGGUGGCAGCAGUCGAGAAUCAUUCACAAUGGGCGAAACACUGAUGGUGCGACGCCGCGUGGGGGAAUGAAGGUCUUCGGAUUGUAAACCCCUGUCAUGUGGGAGCAAAUUAAAAAGAUAGUACCACAAGAGGAAGAGACGGCUAACUCUGUGCCAGCAGCCGCGGUACUACAGAGGUCUCAAGCGUUGUUCAGAAUCACUGGGCGUAAAGCGUGCGUAGGCUGUGUCGUAAGUCGUGUGUGAAAGGGGCGUGCUCAACCCGCGGACGGCAGAUGAUACUGGGAGACUAGAGUAAGGGAGGGGGAAGCGGAAUGCGCGGUGUAGCAGUGAAAUGCGUAGAUAUCGAGAGGAACACUCGUGGCGAAGGCGGGUUCCUGGACAUAAACUGACGCUGAGGCACGAAGGCCAGGGGAGCGAAAGGGAUUAGAUACCCGUGUAGUC
rnacentral:rRNA from 1 species